GACGAACGCUGGCGGCGUGCUUAACACAUGCAAGUCGAGCGGUAAGGCCUUUCGGGGUACACGAGCGGCGAACGGGUGAGUAACACGUGGGUGAUCUGCCUCGCACUUCGGGAUAAGCCUGGGAAACUGGGUCUAAUACCGGAUAUGACUUCGGGUUGCAUGGCCUGGGGUGGAAAGAUUUAUCGGUGCGAGAUGGGCCCGCGGCCUAUCAGCUUGUUGGUGGGGUAAUGGCCUACCAAGGCGACGACGGGUAGCCGGCCUGAGAGGGCGACCGGCC
rnacentral:rRNA from 1 species